CUUCAGUGGAAGUUUUCAGAACAAGAUUGUGCCAGCUUCAGGAAAUGGUUUUUGAAUUUCUCCAUAUUUGGUACAGACAACUUAAAUGCUAUGCAGCUGGUUUGAGCCUUAUCUUCUUGGUGAUUUUUGGAAGGUAAAUCAUUUGGGCUCAUGAGGAACAGAGGAGCCAAACCACUAUUGAGAAGAUUGCUGUUCACCAUUUUGACAACCACACAAGCCACAGAUGAUACUCUCAGAUUCUAAAGCCUGCCUCCAUUCUCUGGCUGUGGCCCCUUCCUCCAUCUUCAAAUCUAGCAGUUCUGCGAAAAUCUUUCUUAUGAUGCAUUUCUCUGGUUCCAACUCCUCUGCCUCCCCUUUCACCAUUUAAGGACCCUCUGAUUAAACUGGACUCACCCAGAAAAUCCAGGAUAAUCUUCUCAUUUUAACAUCAGCUGAUUGGCAACCUUGCUUCCAUCUGCUACCUGAAUUCCCUUAGCCAUGUAACCUAACAUAUUCACAAGUUCUGGAGAAGAAGAAAUGUACUUCUUUGGAGUGACAGAGGGACUAGCUACUACACACUGGAAGAAUCAAAUAUUCAAUAUGAGGUUAUUGACACAAGGAAGAACACAUACAAGAAUUUCAUGUAAAAGGGGUCUAAGAAUGACCAGGAGUUAAUGCGGUAAAGAGAGCAUGAAAGAACAUUUCAAUCCCCAGGAACAGUGCGAGCAAAGGAAUGAAGUGAAGAGAGGAAAUCAAGUCUGGGUUAUCUGACUUACUGCUGAGUGAUUUUACAGCUUGGAAAUAACACUUCUCUGGUAGCCAGGUUCUCCAGAAGUGUGCUUGUGAGCUCACAGAACUUAGAGACCAAGAAAGUCAAAGAAGAAAGGGACUGAAGAAUGUCAAGGAAAUGACCUAGCACUACAAGCCAUAAAGUAAUGACAGUUUCAAGGGGAAGAAUAGAGAGAAAGAGGAAUCAUGUGGAGAGGAAGAAGGUGGGGAGUUAAGGAGAGAAUUUGGUUAUAGCCAACAGGAAUAGAUCUGACCACUGAAAUUCUUAUGGGUAAAGGCAUUGUGGACAAAUACAAACUCACACACAAUGGGUUCCAA
rnacentral:lncRNA from 1 species